GAUGAACGCUGGCGGCGUGCCUAAUACAUGCAAGUCGAGCGAACGGACGAGAAGCUUGCUUCUCUGAUGUUAGCGGCGGACGGGUGAGUAACACGUGGAUAACCUACCUAUAAGACUGGGAUAACUUCGGGAAACCGGAGCUAAUACCGGAUAAUAUUUUGAACCGCAUGGUUCAAAAGUGAAAGACGGUCUUGCUGUCACUUAUAGAUGGAUCCGCGCUGCAUUAGCUAGUUGGUAAGGUAACGGCUUACCAAGGCAACGAUGCAUAGCCGACCUGAGAGGGUGAUCGGCCACACUGGAACUGAGACACGGUCCAGACUCCUACGGGAGGCAGCAGUAGGGAAUCUUCCGCAAUGGGCGAAAGCCUGACGGAGCAACGCCGCGUGAGUGAAGAAGGUCUUCGGGUCGUAAAACUCUGUUAUUAGGGAAGAACAUAUGUGUAAGUAACUGUGCACAUCUUGACGGUACCUAAUCAGAAAGCAACGGCUAACUACGUG
rnacentral:rRNA from 1 species